rnacentral:lncRNA from 1 species
GAGAGCCUUUGGCUGCUUCUGAGACCGGCUGUGGGCUGCCACCGCUGAGCGGCGCGGAGGCUGCAGCGUUCCCUCUCAGGACAGAAAGCAGGCGUUGGGGACUGUUACUCGCAGCCUGCCAGGGGCAGCAGCCGCCCCAGGUUCAAGUGGCUAUGUGCCAGGAUACUCAGGCGCGGCUGUUGGCUGCCCAUGGGAGAGCCAGUGCUCUCCGCAGGUCCAAAGUGCAAGGCCGGGCUAUUCCCGGACUUGCCUAGGAGCAGGGGCCCCCAGCGCGUCUGGGAUUGCCCCGGCGCGUCGGGCGCGCGAACUUGUGCGCAAGGGAGAAGAGCGCUUACCAUGGAACAUGGUCUGCGGGAGGCGGGCGUAGUCAUGAUGACCGCAACUGGAGCAGGAGCAAGCUCUCACCGCCCAUAGUCACUCCCAGGACCCUGGUCUUCCGCGGAGUUGCCGAGUCUGUGUUGGGCAGGGUGAUCUCUGCAGCUGGUUCCUCUUACCCACGCCGCGACUGCAGUUUCAUCCAUCCCAAGGGGGGCGGCACACACUACGGCGUGGCUCUGCGCUUUGCCUUUUCCAUAACUUCCGUAGGAUCCGCCAGCAGUGUACUUUCAGUUUCUACUUUGCGCUUGGUCUGCAGGUUCAAUCUUUGGGAUCAUCAGCAUGGAAUCUUCAUUAUCCCCUCUCUCCUGGGCACCUGCUUCCCGCGCACCUGGAUGAGGACCAGAGGAAUUCGCGAAUUUCCGAAUCACCGCAGGAAAAACCAGCUGGCCUGAAUCAAAGCAAUUCUGGGUAAAAGACUUCCCAGAUGAUCUCUCAACGCCUUGGCAACGCUUGGCGACUGGGAGCUAGAACCAUGAGUUGUUAAUGUGUGCACGGAAGCCACAAGUGUGCAGGACGCAAGCUGGGUUAUUGGAAGCGGACGACACCAAGGAGGCGUUGCCGCGGAUGUGGUGGACGAUGCCAAGUCGUCUUUUAAAAAAGGAAGUGAAGAAUGAUUAAGAGGGUCACGCCCUCUACCACUCCAACCUCUCUAAUCAGUCUCUUUCUGCUCCGUCUGCUGUACAUGCACCUGCUCAGGUGAGACCUCAAGGAAAAAUAAUCCUGUGGGUCCACCUAAUCUGGUAAGUGUUGUAUUUGGAAAAUCAAACCCCAAAUUAAACGCAGGACGUGGAAACUGACGAUAAUAUUUAACUAUGACUUCCACGUGCACAUUUAUCUGAAUUGGCUAAUAAAUCAAACUAUUCGUCUUGAAUGCAUGCCACUGAAAUGUUAACUUUUUCCUGGGCUUGAAUUAUGUAGCUUAUUUGCUACAUUAGUUUGGUUUCUGCUAUUCUGCAGAAACCCUGCUUAGAUGAAGGUGGAUAAUGUAAACCAGUAACAACAGCGAUAAUAAUAACGACUAUCAUUUAUCUAGCAUUUGCUCUCUGCCAGUUUUGUGCUAAGCAUUUUAUGUAUAUCAUCUCAUGCAAAACUUUGUGUGAGGUAGACCAUUUUCUUAUCUGCACUUUACAGAUGUGGGGACUGAGACUUCCUUAAGUAACUUUCCAAAUUUCACUUAGCUAACUGAGCUUAGACACAGACUUGCUGCAUUUGGGCUGUAGAAACUCCUGCUUGGAACUCCUGUGAAUAAAGUAAUAAUGUGCACACUGAUGCCGGGAGGGAGAUGACAGUACGUGUGUGGCUUUGCCCCAGUGUGGGGACUUCAGGAAAGUUUCCUGGAGUCUGUGACUUCUAAACUGACACUUGAAGAGGAAUGAACUUGGGGCUGGUAAGGAGUAUGUCACAUUCUGCUAUAGCGUGAACAAGGAAGAGGAGGGAAGGAGAAAGGAAAAAAAAGGAUGGCAAUGAACUAGGGAGAACAGAGUUGCUCAAGCCUGAAACUUGGGUCUCUGAUUCCUUUUUUGGUCUCAUUUCCCACAUCAAAUCCAUAGACAAGUCCUGUCUGCCCCACCUCCAAAAUUAACCCUAAGGUGACUAUAGAGACUGUCUAAGGGAUCUUCCAGCUUUCACUUUUGCCCACAACCCCUUCAUUCUUCUCAGAGCAGCAGGAUAUCUGAUUCUAUUUUGUGCCCCACCUUCUGGUCACUUCCCACUGGGUACCAGGCCCUCAGUGCCCUGGUGAUCUGGGCCCCACUGCCCUCUCUGACGUUUCGUGGUACCACAUCACUAUCCUCCAGCCACAAUGGCCUUUCUCUUCCUGCCCAGCGUCCACUUACUAUGGUCUUUAGCCCAUGGCUGGCAUUCAGUAAGUACUGGGGGGUGACAGAGUAAGAGAGAACAGGUGAGUGGGAAUGCAUCAGUGAAUAUGUGUGAAAGAGAAAGUUCAUGAAAGCAGAAGGAAAUAGAAUGAAAGAGGAAGCGAAGGGGGUAAGCAAAUGGAAAAGAGAGACAGAAUGGAGUGAGAAAAGCCACAUAUUUCCAUUUGACUGGAACCUAGAGUGGGAGGUGGGGAGGAGGACAGACAUGACACUGGAGUGAGUUUUAAAAAUGAUUUCUAUAAUGAAACACGCCUAGGUUGGGGAUUUAUUUAUUUAUUUAUUUAUUUAUUUAUUUAUUUAUUUAUUUUAAAUCCCUGACAGCAGCAUUGAAGUAUGUAACUGUUCAUAGCCUGCACCUUUUUCUUUUUUUAACUUUCCAGGAACAAAGUAAAAGAGCAUCCAUCAAUACUUUGCACAAAAGGAAAUCCGUCUUCCUUUUAUCACAAUCACCAUAAAUCCAGACAACCACAGUUGCUAACAGUAUGAGUUCUGCAGUUAUACAGAACUAAGUCCAUUAGCUGUGUGACCCAUGGCCAAAUAUUUUCCUUCUCUGUGCCUGCAUUUCUUCAUCUGCAAACUGGAAUAAUGAUAGCAACUACUUCAGAGGACUAUUCUCACUCUUGUCACCCAGGCUAGAGUGCAAUGGCG